rnacentral:tRNA from 1 species
GGCCGGUUAGCUCAGCCAGUUAGAGCGUGGUGCUGAUAACGCCAAGGUCAUGGGUUCGAGCCCCGUUCGGUCC